GAAUCCCUGCAACUUUGAGCAAGUUCGUGAAUCUCACUAAGGCUCAGUUUCCUCCAUAAAAUUAAUCAAUAUCAGGGCCUCUGCAUUGGACAACUCCAGAGGGCACCAUUGGGGUUAUACCUUGUGUUUGCCUAACCUUCAUUGCAGUGGGCAGGUGCAUGCUUUCUACAAUGUCCUAAGGUCUAAAGGGGUAGAGUUCUGUGUGUGGCAUUUUAGGCCUGGAAAGGAUGAGAGUCUACAAAACCAGAGAAAUACUGCAGAGCUCCUAAAGUCCUUGGAAUGUCCUAAGUGGGAAGGGAAAGUGGCUGGAAGUUGACUUAAUUUGCAAUGGGCAAUGAUUUCAUCAAUCACGUCUAUGUAAUGAAGCCUCCACAAGAAAAAAAUCUUAACAGAAGACCUUCAGAGAGCUUCCAGGUUGCUGACCACAUGGAGGUCAUGCCCAGAGAGGGUGUGAAAGCUCCACACCCCUUUUCCAUACCUUGCCCUACUUAUCUCUUCCAUCUGGCUGUUUCUAAGUUGCAUCCUUUAUAUUAAAGCAAUAAUGUUGUAAAUGAACUUUCUCUGAGUUCUGUGACCCAUUCUAGCAAAUGGUCAAACCCAGGAGGGAAUGGUAUGAACCUCUGGUUUACAGCCAUUGGUAAGAAGCACACAUGACAACCUGGACUUUCCAUCAACAUUUGAAGCGGGAGCAGUCUUGUGGGAUCAAGCUCUUAACCUGUGGGGUCUGCUACUAACUCUGAGAUCCCAGACCACCACCCAUGAUCCCAGGCUGGAGGAAGCAGCAGGCUAGCGGAAUUCAGGACCAAUGAGCCAGGAAAGAGGACCCAAUGCAGAGCUCACAUCCCACCCUCCUUCCCCCAUGACAAAGCACUGGCAAACCCUGCCAAAGAAGAAGCUUGGCUGCAAAGCAGUCUGGAACUGGACCCGGGAUAGAUUCACCAGGAGCUCACCACCACAGGGAAUGCUGCACUUUGACUGGACAGAAUGCAUCCUCCAUGCCCACAGAGCAUGUGCCCAGGAUGAAUCUCACUGUAUCCCAGUUCCUCAUGCUUGGCCCCAAACCUCUUUUUCACAGUAAUAAAGAAAACACACUUUACAAAAA
rnacentral:lncRNA from 1 species